UUAGACCUUCAUGUCAAAUGUUCUGACAACCAAGCAGCUUGCUACUGCCUAUGCAUCCAGCCAGAAGCAGGGAUGAAAACAAUUAAUUGCUUUCUAAUUUGGAGUUGAACUGAGGAUACAGUAUAAGCAUAAGGCAUCUGGAAAUAAUGCUCCUUUUAAGAAAUCUAGGAGUCCCCAAAUCCAGCUCAGUGAGUCAAGGCACUGGUUAGACAUGUGAGAGAUCCAGAUUCAAACCCCGAUUCUGCCUGAUUCCGAGCAGUGAUUGAAACCCUCCCCAAAACUCUUAAUCUAUCAGCUGAGAAAGACUACAAACAUCUGUGUGCGACUCAAAGAAGCUUGAAUCAGAAGAGGCAUGCAAAAGCUCUAUUUUGUGAUGCUUCAAGAGCCAGCAGGAUCCAGUAUGUAUAAGACCCAGGUUCAGUGCCCUGAUCUUCCUGAUUUGGAACACAAAAUACAAAAUAUUCUCAUGCAUGAAAACCUUGCCUACGGACACUACCUUCAUUGACAGCUCAUAAUUUCACAGCGUGUGUAUCCUUGGGGAAAUCUCUGGAAGAAGCAUGUCUCCAAAGAAAUGGGAAACCUUCAGUGGAUUCUCAGUUGAAAAUCAACAGCAGAAAUCUCCCAAGACCAAACCACUAGCAGUGAAAGAAGCCUGGUGGUAGACAGGGCUCAGAGUUAAAAAAGAAAAAGCUAACUUCUACUCCUACUUGUACUUACAAUUUAAUGCACAAUUUAAAUUCAACUGGUGGACUUUCAUCAGGCUUAAAAUUUUGCUUUUUCUCAAUUUGUAUCAGCUUCAUACUGCAAGUUCUAUAGAAGGUAUAACCUCAGCUUUUGCAGAAACAGACACGGGCUGGACAGAUGGUGGACACUAACUGAACAUGAACCAGUAACGCGCCUUUGCAACAAGGAAGGUAUCUUGGGAUGCAUUAGGAAAAUAUUGCCAGCAGGUCAAGAGAGGUGAUCCUUUCCCUUUAUUCAGCACUGCUGAGGCUAUACCUGGAGUGCUGGAUCCAGUUUUGGCCUUGCCAGUACAAGAGACAUGGACAUAAUGGAGAAAGUCCAAUGAAGGGCUACAAAGAUGAUUAAGGGACUGGAGCAUCAAUCAUACAGGGAAAGGCAUUAGGGCUGGAGCUGUGCAGCCUGGAGAAGAGAAGGCUCAGAGGAGAACUCAUCAAUUUGUAUAAGUUCUUGAAGGAAUGGUGUAAAAAACACAGUACACGGCCUUUCUCAGUGAUGCCCAGGGAAAGGACCAGAGACAGCACAAAAUGAAACACAGGAGGUUCUGUCUGAACAUCAGGAAACACUUUCUUACUCUGCUGGUGACCAAGCACUGACACAGGUCACCCAGGGGGAUUGUGGAGUCUCCAUCCUUGCAGGUAUUCAAAAGUUAUCUGGAUGUGGGCCAGGGAUAUAGGCUCUAGGUGGUCCUGCUUGAGAGAGACCACCAGAGGUCCCUUCCAACCUCAACCAAUCUGUGAUCCUCACACUUUUAUUUGUUCCUCUAUUAUUCAACACAGGAUUAAGUAGGCAUCAUCUGCUCGUCUGAAGAUUGACAUCUCAUCAGAAAAUAUUUGUUGAAGAACAGGAAGAUAAUUCUUCUCAGUCUUGGACAGUGUCUCACUUCAUGCAGUGCUUUGCUCUGGAAUUUUGAUAAACAUGAGCUCAUUCUUAAAAGGACAUCUAAAAGCUUCUGAAAGCAGCCUCAAAAAUGAGACUCAGGUGUGGGCAUGCUUAGGACAUACAUAAGGUUAGUUCUGAACAAAAGGAAAGUUACACAUUUUAAUGAAAUGUCAUAAUUCAAUUUGCAAAGUAAGUAAUUUUCUUUUCAACAGAAGGAUAUAACCACAAUAUUCAUCCUAUUUUUUCUUUCCCUUUCUUUCAAUGUAGACUACCUUAUGAAUGUCCUAUCAUUUCAGUUGUAUCAACCUUUCCAUCAUUCUUAGUCUUUGACAUACUGAUCCAGUUUAUCUGAAAGGAAAGUAUGGACUUUACCAACAGCUUAAAGGAAACAUAUUCAAAAUGUUUAUCACAUGCCCAUGACCCCUUUAAAUCCAGACACCUGUCAUAGCUCAGAGAACAGGUGGCUCACACUGCAAGUGAUCAUUAAUUUAACAUUAAAUUACUGUGAAUUUCAUACAGUCUGGAAUUACAUAAAAAUUACAGUGUGCUUACCUACUAGUUACCAUACAUAGGAGUUCAUGUGAAAUUUAAAACACAGAACAAAACCUAUAAUUCUAUUUUCAUCUGCUUGCUAAAUUUAUAGUAAUUUCUCAUGAUAUUCUGUCUGUUUGAGUCUAUGCCAAGAUUUCCAAGAGAAUUACUGCCAGGAGUAAAUUUAAGAUAGGGAAAAUCAGAUCCUGAGCAAGAAAAUAUAAAGGUGUUAUGGUUUGCCUCCUACAUUCUAGAAUAUUCUCCUAGAGGUUUUUGGCUGUAACCUCGACAUAGUUAUAUGCAGAAUAAGCAAUCAGCCUUCCAAAAUUCAAAAAUUGGCCUUCCAAAAUUCUGAUUAUGUAAAGAAAAAUUUCAGACUUUAAUUCUGAGAGAAUAGUUGGUCUGCCAGCUCCACCUGGCAGUUUCAAAUGACUGUUAAUUUGUUGCAGUCUUUGUCUCGGUCACUGCAGUGAAACUAAAUACAGGACUGUCAGAACAAGUGACUCUGAUAAUUAUCCAAAAUCUCUUCAUAUAUGGUAAGUUAGUUACCAGUAAGAAAAACUAUGAAAAAAAAAUUGGAAAACACAUCACUUCUAGUAAAAAAGAUACUAGAAUUGAUCAUUUAAAAAUCAGCAAAACAAUUGUUAGAUGACAAGGGUAUCUGACCUUUCUUUUAAAAAUAAAUAUACAAUUCCAAUAGAAAAAUGUGAAAUCCUGCAGACAGCCAGGGAAGAACACAACCUCAAGUACAGAAACAAACCUGAACACACAGAACUACUGGCAAUAUUUUUCUGGGAAAGACCAACAUAAUACAGAUAUAUUUGUCUGUGUGGCUGGCUGGAUCCACCCAGAUGCACAUCCUGCACUUCGGUCAAACAAAACCAUUCAAUGCUACAGGUUUGGGAAAGAGUGGCUGGAAAUCUACCCCACGGAAAAGGACCUUGGGGCACUGGUCAACAGCCACUGAACCUGAGCCAAAGCAUGCCCAGGUGACCAAGAAGGCCAAUGGCACUUUGGCCUGUAUCAGAAAUAGUGCAGCUAGCAGGACCAGGACAGUGAUUGUGCCCCUGUAUUGAUGAGGCCACACCUUGAAUCCAAAUCCUGUGUUCAGUUCUGGGCCCCUUGCUACAAGACAUUGAGGUGCUGGAUU